rnacentral:rRNA from 1 species
UACGUAGGGGGCAAGCGUUGUCCGGAAUCAUUGGGCGUAAAGAGCGUGUAGGCGGCUCGGUAAGUCCGCUGUGAAAGUCCAGGGCUCAACCCUGGAAUGCCGGUGGAAACUGUCGAGCUAGAGUCCGGAAGAGGCGAGUGGAAUUCCUGGUGUAGCGGUGGAAUGCGCAGAUAUCAGGAGGAGCACCAAUAGCGAAGGCAGCUCGCUGGGACGGUACUGACGCUAAGGCGCGAAAGCGUGGGGAGCGAACAGG